GAAUAAGAAGCGAACAUAUUGCAGUCAGUUUCGACCUGAAAGUUUGGUAAUUAUACCCUUAUUCUAAUAAUUA
rnacentral:tRNA from 1 species